GCAUCGGUGGUUUAGUGGUAAAAUUAGCCGUUGCCAUCUGUUUCAGAUCAAUUCGGCUAGCCCCGGGUUCGAUUCCCGGCCGAUGCA
rnacentral:tRNA from 2 species